rnacentral:rRNA from 1 species
AUACGGAGGGUGCAAGCGUUACUCGGAAUCACUGGGCGUAAAGCGCGCGCAGGCGGCUAUUUAAGUUGGAUGUGAAAGCCUAUGGCUCAACCAUAGAACUGCAUCCAAAACUAUUUAGCUAGAGUGUGGGAGAGGAAGAUGGAAUUAGUUGUGUAGGGGUAAAAUCCGUAGAGAUAACUAGGAAUACCAAAAGCGAAGGCAAUCUUCUGGAACACUUCUGACGCUGAGGCGCGAAAGCGUGGGGAGCAAACAGGAUUAGAAACCCUAGUAGUCC